rnacentral:lncRNA from 1 species
CUAUUUGCCACAUGCAGAUCUCCAUCGAGUUAAAAAAUCCACUGUUGGUGGAUUGCGAUCAGGAGAGGUCCCCCAUCUUGUAGUUUCUUACACACUUAGUUUGUAUGUGCUUUCUUUUCGCAGCCCCACCCCACCCUUUUCUCCAGUUAGAAGUGGCUGUAUUUGUUCGGUUGGAAUGAUCUCUUGGUGUCUGGCAGCUUGAACACAAGUCAACACAGUUGGAAAAGCCAGUUUUCCUAGCUUCUUGGCACAGCUGAUUUCCCGGUAUGGAUUGGCCCUUGGUGUGUCUUUGUGGUGGCAUGGCAAUCAUUAGGAAGGAGUGCUAUCCAGCUGUGAUUGCCCACCAUGAACUAGAGGAGAAGAUCUGGAAUUUCAAACAUGGUGCGCUAAACCGUGGGCAUGUAAAACAUGGUUGCUGAGCUGAAAUCCCUCGUCCUGCCAGGACUACGUGUCUACACUCUAAAACAUGGCAGAGCUGGGUGUUUCUGGAUAGUGGU